GUUAUUUCGUCGUAGUUUAUUUCUCGGUCUUUGUUUUUAAAUCGUUAAGAACAUAUGUAUAAAAGGAUUAUUCACAAUUUGUUUUUUUGCAAAGUAUAUUGUUUGGCUUUUUUUUUUGGAAAAACGAAAACAUGAACACCCUCAGUCUAGCUAUCACAUUAUUACUUCUUAAAACUUACUUCUUCAGCGAAUUCUCUGUUUUAAUGGUUCAUGGAAAUUUUUACAGUACACCCAGUCUUUUUGCACCGUCUAUUUUGCAUAGAUACAAUGGUUCAUCUUACGCUUACCUCCUACAAGGUAAAAAAUGGCAUUCAUUAGUAUUUAAAGUUUAUUGAUGUUAAUUAUUAUACUAGAUAAGGAAAGGAAUCAUGUUUCCUUGUGUGAAUGUUAUUAAAAUUCGUAAUAUAAUAAAGCAGAAAAUUAAACUACUACUAAAACUGCAAAUUCAAAUUUAUUUUGCAUUCUACUUUCAGUUUAUAAUAGAAGUUUCAAACUAAUUUUUAAAUAUAUUUGCUUUAACCAGUCAUUUCAGAUAUAAUAAAUUUUUGUUUGAAAUGCAAAACUUACUGUGUAUUCUUUUAACUUUAAAUAAUAGAUAUAUGUUUUCUUCUGAAAUUUGAAUUUCAGUUGAAUUGACAGUACCCAUAUUUUUGGUAGGUAGACGACAUGUAUGAUCAAAAUAAAAGGAUUACUAGGUCCAUUAGUACUUUCUAUUUUUGCCAGGUCUAUUAACGGAAGGCCACACUAUUUUCUAAUUAACAAAAGUAUAUCAGUAAUAUUCAACAGUUAAGAUUUGUUUAGUAUGGAGCACUGUAAAAUAACUUGUAUCUCAUAGUACGUUAGUUCAUGAUAUUUAUGGGGUGAUUUCUAUGUGAGAGGAAUUCCUGCCGUUCUCUCUCCCCCUAUAUAUAUAUAUACACACACACUAGCAUUAUACUCGUGCUAACGGUGACGGUAUAGCUCGAAUUUGACAUGAAAAGACCGGAGAAGAUGAAGGGGCAGAUAGUUAAUGGGCUAAAUGGGCCGCGAGCCAGCCUAACGCCUAAAAAUCUCCAGAAAGGGCUAAGUGUUAUCGUGUCCGUCAGUGGGCCUAGCAGGCCGACGCUUAAAAAAGCAUGGUGCUGACACAAUCAAUACCAUGCCAGAGAGGAAUGUUGCGGUUUUAUGUUUAGCUUGAACGAUAACAUAAGUUUCGUAAUGUCCAAUAAUUUCGGUAUCAACGGUGUACCCGUAAAACAAGCAAACGACUGUUUUUACAUGACACUGUUUGAUUACACCCGACACUUAAUGUGCUAUUAAGCUUGUGCCUAAAAAUUAAGUAAACCUAAAUUAACUUGGCGUUAACUACUCGGUUGUAAUGAUUAUGUUUAAUCAACAUUACUCCUAAGCAAGAUUUUCAAUUAUCUAUUGGAGGGACACGACAAUUAUUUAUCACCAAACCGCUCGUGUUCAAAUCACUCAGGAGAGAGCAACUUCAGCUGGGUACUAUUCGGGUCCGUAAGCACCUAGAACAAUGCUGCUUGAGUCGGGUUGCUCGAUAUUUCGAAGAUACCUUUAUGUAAAAGUCCAUAGAAGACUCUAUAUUUAAUUGUUGAGCAAUUUUACCACCCUUGAGAAAGUACCAAGAUAUGCACUAUUUUCUAUGUAAAAUUUAAUACCUCUUGGUAUCUUAGAUACUAGAAAGUACUAAAUUUUAUAUAGAAACAGUGGUACCUCAUAGUAACCUCCUCAAGGAUGAAAAAAAUGCUAUUAAUUGUUAUAUAUUUAAGUAUAGAGUUGGAGAUUUUCCUUUAUUUAGAGCCCUCCAUAGCCUCUACAAUCAUUAUGGAGUACUCAAGAUCACUAAGAAAGCACUUGGGGAGUGCUCGGGAAACACAAAAACUACGUCAAACAUACUAUGUGAAGAUACACCUGAUGAUCAAUAAUCUACACAGAUGAUUUACGCGGCUACGUAUGACUCUGAGGGCUGCCGUGGGAUACAUAUACUAGAGGUAUUCGUAAUCUGACAAGAUAGGUUGUAGUCUUGUUAGAUUAUGACUCUACCUGUAAGCCAUACUACCCACUAUAUAAGUUUGUAUGGGGCACUCCCCCCAAGGGAUGCACUUGGGGAGUGCUCGGAAAGCACACGGACUAUGUCAAGCAUACUGCGUGAAGAUACACCUGAUAAUCAAUAAUCUACAAAGAUGAUUAGCGCGACUAUGUAUGACUUCGAGGGCUACUGUGGGAUAUCUAUACUAGAAGUAUCUGUAAUUUGACAGGGUAGUUCUUAGUCUUAUUAGAUUAGAACUCUAUCUAUAAGCCCUACUACCAUUAUAUAAGGGGUACGAGAUACCCUAAGGGGACACACACAUUAUCAUCUAUAAUAUAAGAGCAUUUUUUUCAUUCUUGAAAAGGUACCAUGAGGUACCACUGUUUCUAUGUAAAAUUUGGUAUCUCUUGAUACCUUAAAUACUAGAAGGAACUAAAAUUUUACAUAGAAAACAGUGGUACCUCAUGGUACCUCCUUAAGGAUGAGAAAAAUAUUCAUAAUAUAAUCUCAAGCAACACUAGUGUAUUAUCUAGCUAGCCCGAACAUGGGUAAACCUUCGCCUUUGUACUAACCAUCGUUCUCUAUGUCUUUCUCGUCACCACGUAUAUUAUUGCCGAGCUAGAUCAUUGAUGACACCAUUUCAUGUUUCUUCUACUAUUAAUUAGGAUGGUAGUAUAAAUAACUUUGGACUCUGGGAUGUAAAAAGAUAAAGGACCCAGAUUACUCCUAGUGCUACCGUGUUCGUAUGUUUCCAAUGCCAAUAAAAAGUAACCCAUCCAAUGGUAUUUAACCAUCAGAAAACUGCCAAAUAAGAGAGACCGGUGUCUCAGUAAGUGUUAAGCGUCAAUCCUUACCUAGCUCAUAGAUUUAUGUCGUUUGUCUUCUUGAUUGAGCUUCCAUUCCCUUGAAAAUUAGACAGAAUCCAUCCUGAGAGGCUCAAAGUAGACAGAAUUAUGAAUUACUCGUGCUCGCCGUCGUCCUCCAAACCAGCUUGAGACGCUCACUGUCCAGCGUCGAUCCAGUGCUCUGUUUCUUUCAUCUGCGUCGCUUCCAAACAUUUGCCCUUCAUCGCUGGCGAGUGGCGACACUGUUCCAUCCUCCAUGUAAGCCCUCGAUCAAUUCAGCGCCACCCUUGAUUGCUUCGUCGUUUCUGGCUCACUCCUCCCUUUUUCUUGCUUCGAAAUUUGCUGAAACUGGAACACAUCAACCUGCUAAAGUGCUAACCCUGACAGAGCUCCAGCCAUAGACAGUCCAACUAACAGUGAUCACCUCGCGCCUGAGGAGCAAACUGCAGCCUCUGUGUGCAGGAACAGCCAUGUCUCCGAUUCGCUGAUCAUCUCAGCUUCCCUUGCUGAGCUCCAGAAGCGCCAGCUCGUUUCCUCUCUUUCCAUAAGCCUGUACCAUUCUGAUUCGCAAGAACUGGCUCAGAUGUUUAUGUGGUAGCACCUCUACAGAACCGGAUGCUCUAAGACUGAACACGCUG
rnacentral:lncRNA from 1 species